UUAAGCGACUAAGCGUACACGGUGGAUGCCCUGGCAGUCAGAGGCGAUGAAGGACGUGCUAAUCUGCGAUAAGCGUCGGUAAGGUGAUAUGAACCGUUAUAACCGGCGAUUUCCGAAUGGGGAAACCCAGUGUGUUUCGACACACUAUCAUUAACUGAAUCCAUAGGUUAAUGAGGCGAACCGGGGGAACUGAAACAUCUAAGUACCCCGAGGAAAAGAAAUCAACCGAGAUUCCCCCAGUAGCGGCGAGCGAACGGGGAGCAGCCCAGAGCCUGAAUCAGUAUGUGUGUUAGUGGAAGCGUCUGGAAAGGCGCGCGAUACAGGGUGACAGCCCCGUACACAAAAAUGCACAUGCUGUGAGCUCGAUGAGUAGGGCGGGACACGUGGUAUCCUGUCUGAAUAUGGGGGGACCAUCCUCCAAGGCUAAAUACUCCUGACUGACCGAUAGUGAACCAGUACCGUGAGGGAAAGGCGAAAAGAACCCCGGCGAGGGGAGUGAAAAAGAACCUGAAACCGUGUACGUACAAGCAGUGGGAGCACGCUUAGGCGUGUGACUGCGUACCUUUUGUAUAAUGGGUCAGCGACUUAUAUUCUGUAGCAAGGUUAACCGAAUAGGGGAGCCGAAGGGAAACCGAGUCUUAACUGGGCGUUAAGUUGCAGGGUAUAGACCCGAAACCCGGUGAUCUAGCCAUGGGCAGGUUGAAGGUUGGGUAACACUAACUGGAGGACCGAACCGACUAAUGUUGAAAAAUUAGCGGAUGACUUGUGGCUGGGGGUGAAAGGCCAAUCAAACCGGGAGAUAGCUGGUUCUCCCCGAAAGCUAUUUAGGUAGCGCCUCGUGAAUUCAUCUCCGGGGGUAGAGCACUGUUUCGGCAAGGGGGUCAUCCCGACUUACCAACCCGAUGCAAACUGCGAAUACCGGAGAAUGUUAUCACGGGAGACACACGGCGGGUGCUAACGUCCGUCGUGAAGAGGGAAACAACCCAGACCGCCAGCUAAGGUCCCAAAGUCAUGGUUAAGUGGGAAACGAUGUGGGAAGGCCCAGACAGCCAGGAUGUUGGCUUAGAAGCAGCCAUCAUUUAAAGAAAGCGUAAUAGCUCACUGGUCGAGUCGGCCUGCGCGGAAGAUGUAACGGGGCUAAACCAUGCACCGAAGCUGCGGCAGCGACACUAUGUGUUGUUGGGUAGGGGAGCGUUCUGUAAGCCUGUGAAGGUGUGCUGUGAGGCAUGCUGGAGGUAUCAGAAGUGCGAAUGCUGACAUAAGUAACGAUAAAGCGGGUGAAAAGCCCGCUCGCCGGAAGACCAAGGGUUCCUGUCCAACGUUAAUCGGGGCAGGGUGAGUCGACCCCUAAGGCGAGGCCGAAAGGCGUAGUCGAUGGGAAACAGGUUAAUAUUCCUGUACUUGGUGUUACUGCGAAGGGGGGACGGAGAAGGCUAUGUUGGCCGGGCGACGGUUGUCCCGGUUUAAGCGUGUAGGCUGGUUUUCCAGGCAAAUCCGGAAAAUCAAGGCUGAGGCGUGAUGACGAGGCACUACGGUGCUGAAGCAACAAAUGCCCUGCUUCCAGGAAAAGCCUCUAAGCAUCAGGUAACAUCAAAUCGUACCCCAAACCGACACAGGUGGUCAGGUAGAGAAUACCAAGGCGCUUGAGAGAACUCGGGUGAAGGAACUAGGCAAAAUGGUGCCGUAACUUCGGGAGAAGGCACGCUGAUAUGUAGGUGAAGCGACUUGCUCGUGGAGCUGAAAUCAGUCGAAGAUACCAGCUGGCUGCAACUGUUUAUUAAAAACACAGCACUGUGCAAACACGAAAGUGGACGUAUACGGUGUGACGCCUGCCCGGUGCCGGAAGGUUAAUUGAUGGGGUUAGCCGCAAGGCGAAGCUCUUGAUCGAAGCCCCGGUAAACGGCGGCCGUAACUAUAACGGUCCUAAGGUAGCGAAAUUCCUUGUCGGGUAAGUUCCGACCUGCACGAAUGGCGUAAUGAUGGCCAGGCUGUCUCCACCCGAGACUCAGUGAAAUUGAACUCGCUGUGAAGAUGCAGUGUACCCGCGGCAAGACGGAAAGACCCCGUGAACCUUUACUAUAGCUUGACACUGAACAUUGAGCCUUGAUGUGUAGGAUAGGUGGGAGGCUUUGAAGUGUGGACGCCAGUCUGCAUGGAGCCGACCUUGAAAUACCACCCUUUAAUGUUUGAUGUUCUAACGUGGACCCGUGAUCCGGGUUGCGGACAGUGUCUGGUGGGUAGUUUGACUGGGGCGGUCUCCUCCUAAAGAGUAACGGAGGAGCACGAAGGUUGGCUAAUCCUGGUCGGACAUCAGGAGGUUAGUGCAAUGGCAUAAGCCAGCUUGACUGCGAGCGUGACGGCGCGAGCAGGUGCGAAAGCAGGUCAUAGUGAUCCGGUGGUUCUGAAUGGAAGGGCCAUCGCUCAACGGAUAAAAGGUACUCCGGGGAUAACAGGCUGAUACCGCCCAAGAGUUCAUAUCGACGGCGGUGUUUGGCACCUCGAUGUCGGCUCAUCACAUCCUGGGGCUGAAGUAGGUCCCAAGGGUAUGGCUGUUCGCCAUUUAAAGUGGUACGCGAGCUGGGUUUAGAACGUCGUGAGACAGUUCGGUCCCUAUCUGCCGUGGGCGCUGGAGAACUGAGGGGGGCUGCUCCUAGUACGAGAGGACCGGAGUGGACGCAUCACUGGUGUUCGGGUUGUCAUGCCAAUGGCACUGCCCGGUAGCUAAAUGCGGAAGAGAUAAGUGCUGAAAGCAUCUAAGCACGAAACUUGCCCCGAGAUGAGUUCUCCCUGACUCCUUGAGAGUCCUGAAGGAACGUUGAAGACGACGACGUUGAUAGGCCGGGUGUGUAAGCGCAGCGAUGCGUUGAGCUAACCGGUACUAAUGAACCGUGAGGCUUAACCUU
rnacentral:rRNA from 1 species